UUUCGGACGAAGAAUGGUCGAUAGAAAGGUCCCCUUUCACACACUGACGUCGUGAUGCGCGAAUAUUCUCUCUUGUUCCCCACGCUUCCUCGCGUUUCUGUUUCCUUCGAAUUCUUCGAAGACGACCUUGUCGUUUUUUUUUUUUUUUUUCGGUAUUUAUUUCGCGGACCGCCGAUCGCGCGACGCAACGACGGGCAACUGAGGAAACGCACGGCAAGAAGAGCGCACGUUACGUCGCCUUUAUUCCUCCGGCGUUAUUAUGUAAGCCCUAUUAUUUUGCACGUCCGCCGCAAUUCGUAGGAAACUGCAGUCGAGGCUGUGAGGAAAAAAUGUGGCACAAGACCUCGCGAGUCGAUGCGGCGCGGCGUGUCGCGUUGCACUCGCGGUAUCGGAUACCUCGCGCACGACGACGAGGACGACGAGGACGACGGAGCUCCACGAUCACCGGUCGCCGGUCUCGCGACGAAUGAAUCCGCGAACGUCCCGAUAACGAUGAUUAAUGGACGAUAAGGCGGCAACAAGCUGCCAACAGCUUGUGCAACAGCGAGCCGUCACCUGAUCGCGGAGUAAAGCGAGGCAGUGAUUUGUCGGCGAGAAAACGCUCAACCACACUCGGAAAAAUAAUAUCCAGAUUUAUCUCCGAACAAAAAAAUGAGGAACGUAUGCUCGCGCGAAAUCACUUUGUGCCGAGGUACACUUUAAUCUAGAUACAUACGUUCUAAUCUAGAGAGACACACAGUGUCGUUCCCGUUAUUCUCAUUAUCCCGGCGAUCUGAAGACAGUCGAGAUACAGUUCGAGAAUAAUUAUUAGUAAUUGAUAUUUGCGACAGACUUGUUAUUCGACAAUCGAGUAAAUCGUUGCAAAUAUUAUCUUGUAAAAAGAAGGAAAUUAUAGACGUAUUAGGAAUAAUCGUGAUGCGCGCACUCGAGCAAUUAAUAAACUUGCUAAUACGUAACUUCCGCAAUCGAGCGAGGUCUACCUUCGCACGAAUAUCGCUCGUACAUUUUCCUCGCCGCGCGGUAAUACAAGAACUGAAACAAAACGUCGGGGAAUACGUGACUUUAAGGUGUGCAAAAAGUGCUCGCUAUCUCUUCGUCGUUUCAACAAUACUACCGAGCGCGUCGCGGCGACCGAUGUGUGCGUAGGUAUACACACAGGUAAACAUAUCGGCGCGUCAGCAACGUACGCACGCACGUAUGUACAAUACACGCGCUACGUACGUGGUCUGCACGCCACACCGACGACGCCGACUAUUCCGGGGUCUUCAUAAUUUCGUGCUCUUAUCUGUUUGCACCGAGCGGCGGAUCCUUGCUUAGCGGUUGUGUAAUUAAAAACGCGCUACUCGAGCCGCCUGCAGUUAGCUACGCCUCGAAAAUGCCCUCAGUCGAGAAAAAGCACGCAGGUCGAAAGACUCGUAUCUUCGCCAUCUGUUUUCUUCGACAUCUCGUUAAAGCGAAAUUAACUCGAUACACGAGCUAGAAGCGGCUAUUGUUUUCACACGCGCCGUACAUCCAUUACAUCAGACUGGCGUCAGGUGGACAAUUGUUAUCGCAUAAAAGUUGGAGUUUCGCAUAUUUCGAAUUCCGAACACGUGGCAAAGUUGAAGAAGAUCCGUGAUCGAUUUUAUCUUCAACGUCGGUCUUACCUGCUGCGCUCGCCUCUGCAACUCCUGCGUGAUGGCGGUGCUCAGAUCGGUGCUGGCGAUCGGC
rnacentral:lncRNA from 13 species